GAUGAACGCUAGCGGCAGGCCUAAUACAUGCAAGUCGGACGGGAUCCAUUGAUAGCUUGCUAUCAAUGGUGAGAGUGGCGCACGGGUGCGUAACGCGUGAGCAACCUGCCUCCAUCAGGGGGAUAGCCUCUCGAAAGAGAGAUUAACACCGCAUAAUAUCAACAGUUCGCAUGUUCAGUUGAUUAAAUAUUUAUAGGAUGGAGAUGGGCUCGCGUGACAUUAGCUAGUUGGUAGGGUAACGGCUUACCAAGGCGACGAUGUCUAGGGGCUCUGAGAGGAGGAUGCCCCACACUGGUACUGCGACACGGACCAGACUACUACGAGAGGCAGCAGUAAGGAAUAUUGGUCAAUGGGCGGAAGCCUGAACCAGCCAUGCCGCGUGCAGGAUGACUGCCCUAUGGGUUGUAAACUGCUUUUGUCCAGGAAUAAACCUAAAUACGAGUAUUUAGCUGAAUGUACUGGAAGAAUAAGGAUCGGCUAACUCCGUG
rnacentral:rRNA from 1 species